UCAAUGGGAAUAACUUCCCGAAAUAGUGACAAAAAAUACCGAUGUAUUAGACUACGUCUAGUACAAUUGGAAUGGAAACAAUCCAAAACCCUUAUUGAGUAACAAUUAGAGGGCAAGUCUGGUGCCAGCAGCCGCGGUAAUUCCAGCUCUAAUAGCGUAUAUUAAUACUGUUGCAGUUAAAACGCUCGUAGUUGAACUUAGGAUUAUUACAAGGUAUUUUACUUGAUUGUAAAAUUCUUGCUUAGUCCUUAUCUACUAGAUACUCUAUUCUGUACUUAAUUGUAUGGAAUAUCACCUAGCCAGUGGAACUUUUGGUUAAAUGGUGCCUUUAUUAAUACCAGAGUGUUAAAAACUUGAAGUGUUAACAAGGGAUCACACUAUUUUGAUUGAAGUGGGGUUCUAGUUAAUUACUUUGAGUAAAUUAGAGUGUUCAAAGCAGCCUCUUGGGGGCUUUUGAAUAGAUUUAGCAUGGGAUAAUAGAAUAGGACUUGAUAACCUAUUGUUGGUUUGAGUUAAUCCAAAAUAAUUAGGAUUAAAUA
rnacentral:rRNA from 1 species